UCGUUGUCUGUGCAUUUCUUUAUAAUCUGCUCCAUACCUUCAGAUCGUCCACCGUCAUCAGAUCUCAGAUCUGCAGUGGGUAUUUCCCACUCUUCAGCUCAUCACGAGGAUAUAAUGCACAAACCAAAUCUAAGAGAAAUUAGUGCAUGUCAACAGAUCUGUGGAGCAUCACAAACUGCUGGAGAAUUAAACAUCAGGACGAGAGAGAACAAGGAAAAUGAAGCAGGAGAGAAACAGAUCCUGAGACGAGUCAGACGGAGAAGCAGUGAUGCUGACAGACCAAACUGUGAGUAUUUAUGAUCUUUAUGAUAAACACUGUUUAGAUCAAGGCCGGCUAAAGCCUUUAUGGGCCCUAAGCAGAACUUUAUUUGGGGGCCCUUCGAUGCCGCCAGUACGAUUGACAAUUAGCUCUAUUCACAAGAUCACACAAAUAAUCAGAUAGAGUAAAGGUUAUGUGUAUUUGGUGUGUUGUCCGAGGAGAGGCUCAGAGCUCAGUAUUUGGCCUGAACCCAGAGUACUCCCUCCGUAUCUCUAGUUAGGAAAGUAACCAGGCGAGUGUGAGGAGACGGGUGGAGGAGGGAUGAAGAAAAAUGUGGAGGAACACAGGUGAGUCAGCUGUAUAUUUAUAUGCCUUAUCUCUUGCUGAUUGAUUAGGGAAUUUGAACCCGGUUUAAAAACAGGACAAACACUAUAUUUGAAAUGGCUUUCUGGCUUGCAUCUUAUCUUAAAAUGAUGGAUGUCAUUUUAAAAAUAUGGAAAUUAGCAGAAAUACGUUAAUGCAGCCUCUUAUUUACAUGAGAUAAAGUUUAUAUUUUUAAUGUAUAUAAUAGCCUACAGAUUUUAAAAUUGUACAUUGUGCCACAAUAACAACUCAUUUCAAAUGUUUUUCUCUUUCUCCUGUGAUGAAAUAUUGUUCUUUUAAAUACUUUCCAGCAUUUCAGUAAUAAAAGUGUACAUCUUUAAAGUGCAUCUAGAUUACAGUGAAGCACAACAGCUAUCGUACGGUGCUCCGCAAUGGUCAAAAAGGAUUCAAACGGUGAAUUUUUAAUUAAUCUCCUCUUGUAAAGUCAGAGAUGAGGACUGAAUCAUCACACAACCUUAGUGUUUAUCAAAAAACAGAUUUUUACGUGGGUGGUGGCAGAAAAACAGACAUUCUGGAUUCGCACAACAAUAAAAUCACAGACUAGCCCCUGUAAAUGCUGAAAAUACUUUAUGAGAAACAAUUACCAUCUGAAUAUGGCUAAUGCUUGAUUAUUCACACACUAUAAAUAUAACAUUAUCAAUUUUAUCAGUUGUAGUUGUGUUUCUUACAUGCCUGCCUGCAUGUUUUUACCCUUCUACGUUUUUUUAAUUGUAGCAAACCCACGAGUGGUCAGGUGUUCAUUUGCACUUUAAUAUUCAAAUUCUUACAGUACUGAGAGGCAUAUUUAAUGUAGUGUACUGAGAAGUAGCUAAAUAAACCAGCAGACAAUUCGUUUACUGUAAUCAAGUUACCCACUUCAAUUACUUUUGGUUAAAAAAAUUAGCAACAUGCAAAAGUGCAAAACAAUCAACUACAGUAAAAUAACUUAAGAUGUAUUAACAUUAAAGGGAUAGUUCACCUAAAAAUGAAAAAUCAUUCAUCAUUUUCUCACUCUCGAGUUGUUUUAAACCUGUUUCUUUCUUCUGCUGAACAUUAAAAGUUAUUUUAAAGAAUGUGGGUAUACAAACAGCUGCUUAGCUCACUUAUGUCUUGGGCCGGCUCUGAAUUACACAUUACAUAUUUCAUCACCAAUUCUGUUUCAUCACUUACUAUCUUUAACUGAAUGAGAGUUUUAACUAAUGUCUGUUUGUGAUUUCAGUUUCUCAUGAUCCAGAGAUUGAGUCUGAUCAUUCAGAGACACUCACAGAUGAGGGGAAACACUCACUGAUCAGAUAAUGAAGUUCAAACUGAUACAGAAAUAUGAUGUGAUAUUUAGAGGUGUGUGUGUGUGUGUGUGUGUGUGUGUGUGUGUGUGUGUGUGUGUGUGUGUGUGUGUGUGUGUGUGUGUGUGGAGCUGUGCAGUGACUGACUGAAGGCGGCAUGUGUGAUUUUGGUGAUUAUAAUAAAGAGAUUCACCAAAAAAAGCUUUUAUGAGGAUGUUUGUCAAUAAGCCACAGAAUAAAAAGUUUGUGGUGUGAAAGAUAAUGGUAGUUUUUGAAACAACAGGUUGACAAUUUCCUGUUUACACUAAGGAAAUGAAACAUUUUUGAUGUACGGUCUAACGCUUACACUUUCUCAUAAUAUUUUUCAUUAUUUCACUACAAUGACUUGUUUUGUCCGUUGCAAAUAUAAAUUUCCUACACAAACAAUUUAA